GAAGACAAAAGCCACAGUUAUCUGGACAUGCAGCUUGCUGAUCUCUCUGAUUGUAGAGUCCUACCAUGCUCAGAAGCUCAGUAUUCACUGGGGUCCUCAGUCCAUGAUGUACUUGAAGGGCAAGUAUGGGAAAAGGUUUGCUUUGGAGGACGGAACCAGUGUGUUGAAGCAGAGUCUUCAGGGUUUCGGUGGACUGCUCCAAGGUAUCCAGAUGCUCCAGUCAUUGGAACUGAAAGAAAACCCAAAAAUUCUGAUUUUGGAGAAAAUUUUCAUCCAGAAUCUCCAAGAGAGAUGAGUCACUCUGCCUACUUCUCAGUGAAUAUCACCAACUUUACAUCCCAGCACUAAACCUUAUAAUACAGAGGUUCUUCAUCAGCCUUCUUAAAUGAAAGCUUUGGGUUUGUCAGUAACCGGUUGUGUGAUUCCUGUUGUUUUUCAUGUAUCAGAUUUAAUUUUAUCUUGUUGUAAAAUGAAAAACCCUGUUAAUAAAAAUUAGAGAAUGGUAUUGAUAUUUCUUUUUCCAUCUGCUUUAUUGUCUGCUGUGGUGAAACAAUCUUGAAACAAUCUAUUUGGUUUGGCUAUGAAUGAAUAAUUAUUAUAUAUAACAAUUAUUAACAAAAUUACUAUUGAAUUAUUAGUUGCAGAAUUAGUUUGCAAAUAUAUGAAAAACAUACAUUUUCCCAUUCUCACUUUUUUAUUUUUAUAUGUAAGAAGUAAGAAGGGCCAUGCCAUAGGUUUUUCAUCUUUAAUGCCUUUACUACACAGAGGGGUAUUUGGAUGCAAGUGAUGCAGCAUAAAAUAAUUUUUGAAAGAUGCAGACAUCUUCCUGUCUUCUAAAGUCCAGAAGGAGUUCAGUGGAUUAUAAAUCCAUCUUCAACCUUAAAAGGUCCAACCAGCUUAUCAUUUGUAACACCAGCCCUACUAGUACCCACCUCCACCUUGCUGGCAUCAGACUCAAGGUGGAGCUCUGUGCCUCUAACUGAUCCACCACAGGACCAUCCACCUGGUCCACCCAGAGUCACUCAGUUCAUCAGUCCAGAAAACCUCUGAAGGAUCUGUCAGCAGGUGUCUCUUGGCUCAGUCCAGUGGGUCUCUGGUCUCAUCCUUCCUAACCUCGGCCAUGCCUCUCAGCUCUAUACAUCAGGUACUUCUAGACAGUCCUGGUAGGUUGCAGUUAUGAACUAUAACAGAACUAGAAGAUAACGGGUUCCUGGUAGCUUCUUGGUUCUUACAUCCCAGAGGUUACUUUGCUUCUUUUUUUUUCUCAACGUUUCCUGCGACCCUGUUGACUGCAGCAAAACAGUAUCUCAAUAUCUCAGAAAGUUGGAGUGUUGCAUCCUUCUGAGAGACUUUUAUUUUUUUUUUUACUUUUUUCAGUCAGUUAAAUCUAAUUUUUAUCCCAUGUUGAAUAAAUGUAAUACAGGUAGCUGCCUAGUAAUUAUCCUCACUUGAAUAGCAGGAGCUGUCAUACCUAGAUCACUCUUUUUCAUUACACACAUCACCUGCUCUGCCUAAGUCCAUAAAGAUUCAAGUUUAUCCAGAUUGGAGUCAUAAAAUAUACCUAAAGGUUGGUGUGCAACAAUUGCAGUUUUCUGAUCACCCAUCUCUAAAAAUCCCAGUCUGCUAAUUUUGUGGCUCAUACUGUUGCCAAAAUCUAAGAAGAAGAAAAAA